rnacentral:piRNA from 1 species
UGGAAAGUUGCGGCGUAAACCUAAAUUA